rnacentral:rRNA from 1 species
AGUGAACGCUGGCGGUAGGCCUAACACAUGCAAGUCGAACGGCAGCACAGUAAGAGCUUGCUCUUACGGGUGGCGAGUGGCGGACGGGUGAGGAAUACAUCGGAAUCUACUUUUUCGUGGGGGAUAACGUAGGGAAACUUACGCUAAUACCGCAUACGACCUACGGGUGAAAGCAGGGGAUCUUCGGACCUUGCGCGAUUGAAUGAGCCGAUGUCGGAUUAGCUAGUUGGCGGGGUAAAGGCCCACCAAGGCGACGAUCCGUAGCUGGUCUGAGAGGAUGAUCAGCCACACGGGACUGGAGACACGGCCAGACUCCUACGGGAGGCAGCAGUGGGGAAUAUUGGACAAUGGGCGCAAGCCUGAUCCAGCCAUACCGCGUGGGUGAAGAAGGCCUUCGGGUUGUAAAGCCCUUUUGUUGGGAAAGAAAAGCAGCAGGUUAAUACCCCGCUGUUCUGACGGUACCCAAAGAAUAAGCACCGGCUAACUUCGUG